rnacentral:lncRNA from 1 species
UCACUCAUGGAGAUUUGUGGGCUUUUGAAAUGUACAUCAGGCAUCUUAAACUUGGGACCUUUGAGCUGGGUCCUGAGACAUCAAUGUCAGCUUUGGGCAAAUUAACAUCCACUUCUGGGCCCUCUCCUUUAAAUCCUGGCAUGCUGAAUUUGGGCAUUUUCACCUUGGGCAUCUUCAGGUGCCAGUCUGGGCCAUGAACAUCCACAUCUGGGGCAUCAAUGUCCACUUUGGGCCCUCUGAUGUCAACAUCUGGCACUUUCAUUUCACCU